rnacentral:rRNA from 1 species
UACGUAGGGCGCAAGCGUUUGUCCGGAUUCACUGGGUGUAAAGGGUGCGCAGGCGGACUGGCAAGUCAGAGGUGAAAUCUCACAGCUCAACUGUGAAACUGCCUUUGAUACUGCUGGUCUUGAGUCAGGGAGAGGUUGAUGGAAUUCCAGGUGUAGCGGUGAAAUGCGUAGAUAUCUGGAGGAACACCGGUGGCGAAGGCGGCGUUCUGGACUGCAACUGACACUGAUAAACGAAAAGCCAGGGUAGCGAAACAGG